GGGGGACCCUGCCAAGUGGCUGGAUAAGUCACAGUGUAGCGCCUAGCGGCUAGACGCUGCACAUUACAUGUGUGGCGCCUAGCCCGGAGGCGCUGCACUGCUGGGUGCGGGCCCAGGGGCUGCCACGAUGGACAGGAGUGCAACGCCGCCGCGCUAGGCGCUGCACUGUAGGGUGUGGCGCCGGCGUGGCGGGCGCUACACAAAAGGGUCAGUCGAGUGAAAUAGUUUCGCACCCAGUUCAUUCUAUGAAAUGAUUUCGUCCCGAGGUCAAAAUUGUCAAAUUGCACUCGCCCGUGACCCGAUCUGCCGAAGUCACGGGUCACGCCGGUGGCCGGCACCCUGCUUCUCGUUCGUGCUCUUGACCGCCAAAGACUGAGCUCUCCCAGAGACCGAAGCCAAGACCGCGUGCCUCGCGUGCAAUCUCGAGGAGAUCCUGGCUCGUACGGAAGGAGGCGGUCAGCCAUGGCCGUCGCUGCAGCAACGGAGCCCGCGCUGGCCCGCCCGCUCCGCAGCUGAUGCGGAGGUGGUGGGAUUUCCGAAGCCCACGAGGGCGACCUCUGCCGGAUCUGGUGCCCACGCGUGGUAGUCGACGCGGCAGGACUUGUGGGGGAGCAGGUGAUUUUGGAGCUGGAGGUGGAUGGGGGAUGGAGCGCCGUGGACUGUGCGAGGACACUGUCUGAUCCUGUGUGCCUAGCGUCAGCGACUUUCCUGCUGCGUAGCUAGAUGCACGGCGGCUGAACAUCUUCCUCAUGGAGUUGUAGACUCGUUUUGCUCUUUGUCCCUGACCGCAGGAGGUGCAUCGGAAAUAUGGUGAAAAUAAGGGUUAACAUAAGAUAGUGUCAAGGGGGAAUUGACUAUCACCACCAGGCGGCAAUAAACUAUACCACACAUCAUGACAGAGGAAGGAAAUCCAUAUUUUUGUCAGCUACUACUAACACUGUAUGUCUUUGUGUAUGACAUUUGGCUGGCAAACUCACAGUUCAUUAUGUCAAAUGAGAAAUGAGACAAAACACUCUUGUAGCUGACUGUCAACAUGAGAAAUGGAACUAUUAGUCUUUCUA